AGGCCUCAGUGACAGCAAUUUUUGCUAAUGUUUGUGAAGUGUGUGUAUCCAUGUAUUUGGUUGCGUUUUGGUUUGGAAUUAUUAUAUGUUUAAUAAUUGUGUUGUGGGAUGGCAUUUAUAUAAAAUGUCAAAGAAGUAUAUGUAUUUUGUAUAUCGGGUUGUCCGAUAAAGAAGAAUAUCAGUUUGUCUGAUAAAGAAGUUUAAUGGAUUAUGUUAUCCAUGUAGUGAGCAGUAGCUUCGUGCUAAGUGAUUAUCAUAUGUUUGGUAAAUGCAUAGCAUUCAUAAACUCAUGCAUUAUUUAGGGAUAUCAGACUUGUCUGAUAAAGAAGGAUAUUGGACUUGUCCAAUAAAGAAGAAUAUCAAUGGUAAGUUCCUUGAUAAAGAAGAUGGUACCACAUGCAUUAGUNNN
rnacentral:lncRNA from 1 species